AUGUUGCUGGCGCCCCAAAACAGGUCCUCCUCCAGGAAGAGGACGGGGCUGAAUCGCUGGAAACAGUUUACAAGGAAGCCGAGUCCCACCAAGCCUGUGUUUGACCCUGACAAUGUGGAACACUGGAUUAAGAGAGUGGAGAAAGCUUCAGAAUUUGCAGUUUCUCAAGUAUUUUCUGCUGGAAAUUCAAAUUUAUCCAGAAGGCUUUGGGGCCAACUUGUAGAUUUGGAAACACCUGAGCAAAUAGAAGAUCAUGAAGAAGUCUACGCAGAAGCUCAGGAAUUGGUCAAUGACUGGUUAGACACCAAACUUAAGCAAGAACUAGCAAGUGAUGGGAACAGUGAUGCUGAAGACACUGUGUCCAGUAUCCCUCCUGUGCCAGAAGCCAGUGGACAUUUGAAAUAUGACAAGUUUGAUGAUUUAUGUGGUUAUUUGGAGGAAGAAGAUGAAAGUACCACUGUUCAAAAAUUCAUAGACCAUCUGCUCCAUAAAGACGUGGUGGAUUCUGGGAUAUUGGAAGAUCUUGGAAUGAAUGAAAACCAAGACAAGAAGCGGCAGAAGGAUCCUCGUCUUACCAUGGAGAUGAGACAUAAGCAGGUAAAAGAAAAUCGCUUAAGACGUGAGAAAGAACUGGAGCUCCAGAGAAUUGAAAAGACCCUGAAAAAAUCGGCCUUCUUAGAGGCUCAGUAUCUGGUGCAAGAAGAGAAGAAAAGGAAGGCUCUAGAGGCCAAGAGAGAGGAGGAGGAGAUUCAAAGGGAGAUGGUAAAGCUGCGGAGGGAGAUAAUUGAGAGGCGACGCACAGUGGAAGAAGCAUGGAAAAUAGAGAAGAAGAAGCAAGAAAAUUCUCCAAAAAUUCCAGAGAAAGGCACAUUUCAAAGUGUUCUUAUUCUUCCGGAUGAAGAAAAAAUGGCAAAAGAAAGAAAGAAGAAGCUGAAAGAGUUAUUAAUUCAAACUUUCAAGGAAAAUCACCAGUGUCAAAAACGGUAUUUCUCUGCCUGGCACAAGCUGAUUCUUGAUCAUAGGAUUAAGCUGGGGAAAGCUGGGACCCUGUCCGACUGGAAGUUGCAACUGAAGGUCCUGCGGGCCUGGAGAGACUACACAAGAUCCCAGAAGUUGGGGCGGGAGACUCAAGCUAUAGAAAAUUACCUUAGAGAAGAAAACAGAAAACAACAGCUGGCCACUGAGUAUAACCGGAAACAAGUUCUCCAACACCAUUUUACAGAAUGGCAGCGUUGGCAUCGUGCAGAGAUCCUAAAGAGAGAACUGGCCGUAACAAAGGAGGAAACCAGGAAGAAAAUGAAUGAGCUGCUGGAGGCAGCAUCACUAGGGAAACUCAGCGCAAAUGUGUCAUCAAGCAUCAGUCUGCUUGAGGAGGCAACGGCUAUGGAGGAUCCACCUAGAAAUGGACAGGUGCCUGCUGUCCCUGCUUUGUGGGAAAAGCCUCCCUCUGGGAGCAGUGGUUGUCUGCCCAGCUGCCACCUCAGAAGACCAACAAAGAGCAUCCUCCAGGUUCCCCUCCAAAAGGCCCCUCCGGAUACGUCUGACAGUAAGCCACACAAGGGCCCAGGUGAUGAGCCCUCCCAGCAGCCUGGUAACAAAAAGAAGUUCAGAACCAGCAGCCGGAAAGCAGAACCUGUUUGCAUGGGUCAUUUCCACAACCGCCAUAUCUUCCAGCAGCAGCUGAUUGAAAAGCAGAAGAAGAAACUUCAGGAGCAGCAGAAAACAAUUCUGGAGCUGAAGGAAAACCAGCGGCUGGCAGAGGUUCGGUGGGCAGCAGGGCGUACGCACCCACAGAGCUGCCAGCUGUCAAACCCGGGAGAAGAUGAAUGGGAACGAACCUGCCAGGUGCUUCCAAAUUCACCUGUUGCUUGCCCUGGGACUGAAGGCAGUAGAAGUGACUCCCGAAACUCUCUUUCUGGACCCAGAAGGAAUCCAAGGCAGUUGAUGGCUCCCCAUCCUAUACUGAAAGCCAUGGAAGAGAGAGCAGUUCAGCGAGCUGAACGUAGGCGGAUCUUGGCAGAGAAGAAGAAAAAACAAGAAGAGGAGAAAUUGGCCCAGUUAAAGGCCCAAGAGGAGGAGCGUCAGAAGAGGGAAGCAGAAGAAAAGGAGGCUCAGCUUGAGAAAAAAAGAGAAGAGAAGAGACUGAAGAAAAUGAAAGAACUAGAGAAGCAGAAGAGAAUUAAGAGGAACCAGCAGCUGGAAACAAUAGCCAAAGAACACUAUGAAAGGGUAUUGCUAAGAAAUAAAGGUCUGGAGCCUUGGAAGAGGCUAAGAAUGCGAAGCAAGCAAAACCUCCAGGUGGCCAAAGAGCAUCACUCUUUGACCCUACAGAGGAAAUGCCUGCUGACCUGGUUCCAGUGGUGUCAGGAAAGCCUGGCUAAGAAGAUAGCCCAGGCUGAUCAAUUUUAUUCAGAAAUAUUGCUUAGGAGAGUUAUCCGGAGCUGGCUACAGCACCUGAUUGAUCUAGACGAAGAAGUAAGAAAACUGUGCAUACAUUUUCUUCAGAAGAAGAUUUUCAGGGCCUGGCGUGACAUGGUCAGGGAGGCCAGGGUCGAUUCUCAGAACAAGUACCAGAUUGCAGUGGAACACAGUGACAGGAGGAUUCUCUGGAUCACGUUUCAGACAUGGAAGAGGUUUGCAAAAUAUACAAAAGAGGAAAGAGAAAAAGAAGAGAGGCGAGAGCAGCUCCGUAGGAAGGUAGCUGAAAUUCUCCCAGAUUUCCAGAUGUUCACACUGCUGUGA
rnacentral:lncRNA from 1 species